rnacentral:lncRNA from 1 species
CUCACUUAACAUAAAACAUGGAGUCAACUAAGGCUUCCAUUUAACUAGGCUAUCAAACACAAAGCCCUCAUUCUUACAAUACUCUUCUAAUGAUAGUUCCAUCUUUAUGAACAUUCCAGAUUCUCACAUGAAACGGCUAGAUGGAGAUAAAGAGAAAGAGCUGGUCCCAAAAAAUGAUCUCUACAUACAGUGUGAAAAAAAUAAGAGAAGAAAUGGAAGCCUAGAGGCAAGAUGACAGAAGAAACUGUAGUGUUAAUCCAGAUAAGACAUUGAAGAGCUAAACCAGGAUUUUGGUAAGACAGAUGGAGAGAUGUGAAUGGAUCUGAAUGCUACCAAGAAGGUCAAAUUCAACGGUGCUUACAGGCAUACCUUGGAAACAUUGCAGAUUUAGUUCUAGAACACCACAGUAAAGCAAAUAUUGCAAGAAAAUGAAUCACAUGAAUUUUGGGUUUCCCAGCGCACAUAAAAGUUAUGUUUACACUAUACUAUAGUCUAAGUGUGUAAUAGCAUUAUGUAUU